CGCUGGCGGCGUGCCUAACACAUGCAAGUCGAGCGGUAACAGGUGUAGCAAUACAUGCUGACGAGCGGCGAACGGGUGAGUAAUGCUUCGGAAUCUGCCCAAUGGUGGGGAAUAACCAGCCGAAAGGUUGGCUAAUACCGCAUAAGUCCUACGGGGGAAAGCAGGGGAUCGCAAGACCUUGCGCCGAUGGAUGAGCCGAAGUCGGAUUAGCUAGUUGGUAGGGUAACGGCCUACCAAGGCGACGAUCCGUAGCUGGUCUGAGAGGACGACCAGCCACACUGGGACUGAGACACGGCCCAGACUCCUACGGGAGGCAGCAGUGGGGAAUAUUGGACAAUGGGGGAAACCCUGAUCCAGCGACGCCGCGUGUGUGAAGAAGGCCUGCGGGUUGUAAAGCACUUUUAGUGGGGAUGAAAAGCUCAGGGCUAACACCUCUGGGUCUUGACCUAACCCAAAGAAAAAGCACCGGCUAACUCUGUGCCAGCAGCCGCGGUAAUACAGAGGGUGCGAGCGUUAAUCGGAAUUACUGGGCGUAAAGCGUGCGUAGACGGUUAUGUAAGUCGGGUGUGAAAGCCCC
rnacentral:rRNA from 1 species